UUCACUGUGCAUCUGUUUAGAAAAGAAAGAUGAGAAGAGAAGCUGGGUCGGGAGAAAUUGAUCAUUUUGACGUAGAAGAAGCUGAGGAAGGAUUAAGUAGAAGGAUGAUUGAAUACUGGUCAAACUUUGCCAGGACGGGGUCUCCAAAUAACCGGACUGGGUCUGCUUCUCCUCUUGAAGAUGUAGUUGAGUGGCCUCAAUACUCUCCUGAUACAAGGUAG